rnacentral:rRNA from 1 species
GUGCCAGCAGCCGCGGUAAUACAGAGGGUGCAAGCGUUAAUCGGAAUUACUGGGCGUAAAGCGCGCGUAGGUGGUUAGUUAAGUUGGAUGUGAAAUCCCCGGGCUCAACCUGGGAACUGCAUUGGAAACUGCCAGGCUAGAGUAUGGUAGAGGGGGGUGGAAUUUCCUGUGUAGCGGUGAAAUGCGUAGAUAUAGGAAGGAACACCAGUGGCGAAGGCGACCACCUGGACUGAUACUGACACUGAGGUGCGAAAGCGUGGGGAGCAAACAGGAUUAGAUACCCCAGUAGUCC